rnacentral:rRNA from 1 species
GAUGAACGCUAGCUACAGGCUUAACACAUGCAAGUCGAGGGGACCGGCGGACGGGUGAGUAAUGCCUAGGAAUCUGCCUGGUAGUGGGGGAUAACGUCCGGAAACGGGCGCUAAUACCGCAUACUAUCAGAUGAGCCUAGGUCGGAUUAGCUAGUUGGUGGGGUAAAGGCCUACCAAGGCGACGAUCCGUAACUGGUCUGAGAGGAUGAUCAGUCACACUGGAACUGAGACACGGUCCAGACUCCUACGGGAGGAAGCAGUGGGGAAUAUUGGACAAUGGGCGAAAGCCUGAUCCAGCCAUGCCGCGUGUGUGAAGAAGGUCUUCGGAUUGUAAAGCACUUUAAGUUGGGAGGCGUUACCAACAGAAUAAGCACCGGCUAACUUCGUGCCAGCAGCCGCGGUAAUAC